rnacentral:rRNA from 1 species
AUUGAACGCUGGCGGCAGGCCUAACACAUGCAAGUCGAGCGGAGCGGCGGCCGGGUGAGUAAUGCCUAGGACUCUGCGUGGUAGUGGGGGAUAACGUCCGGAAACGGGCGCUAAUACCGCAUACUAUCAGAUGAGCCUAGGUCGGAUUAGCUAGUUGGGGGGGUAAAGGCCUACCAAGGCGACGAUCCGUAACUGGUCUGAGAGGAUGAUCAGUCACACUGGACCUGGGACAGGGUCAAGACUCCGACGGGAGGUCGCACUGGGGAAUAUUGGACAAUGGGGGAAAGCCUGAUCCAGCCAUGCCGCGUGUGUGGAGAAGGUCUUCGGAUUGUAAAGCACUUGAAGUAGGGAGGCGUUAGCUACAGAAUAAGCCCCGGCUAACUUCGUGCCAGUAGCCGCGGUAAUAC